UUUCGGAAGACAAACUCGUCGAUUUUGUUUUUUUUUUUCGCAAAGUUUGCAUUUUGUUGACCCUUUUGUUUUUCGAUUUUCCAAUUUUACUUGACCACCAGCGACCGCUCGUACCAAAUAUAAUUGAUACAGAAUGCAUGUUUCAUGACCUUUAGAGGUUUUCUACCCUGCAACAAUUUGGAAGUGACUUACUCACCCCCUCUCUAAGAUGCCAAACUACUACUUUGUAGCCCCAAGGAAGAUAAAAGAAGUGUCACGCAUGGUAGACGAGUACGAGGGCAGUUCGGAAACUUCUUUGCCUGUCACAAAAAGCGUCCAUCUGGCAACUGCUUCACAUAGAAACAGGCGUUCAAAGAAAGACGCAUCCGCAUUUUUUUUUACAAUGGAAAAAUUAGAAAUGUGAUAUGCGUCAUUAAAUAUUAACAUAAUAAAGGUUUAUCUUCUUUUUAUUCCUCAUA